UUGAAAAACAAUGUCCACCCCUGACAGUGACGUGAUAAGAUGAGAUAACAUUUGAUAAGAGCUGACGUUUGAUGAGCAUUUGCGAGGGUGCAGUGAUAAGACUUGAUAAGAAAAAAUAGAGGUGAUAUAUGAUGAGCAUCAGCCCUCACUUUGUUUUCGCUGGUACACAAACAUGUCUGUCUGUCAAGCUGCCUGUCUAUCUGUCUAUCCGUCUAGCUCUCUGUCUCAGAGAGAGCCACAAGACUGUGUCAUCAUCACGUUUACUCACAUCUUCAAGCAGAGUAUAGCACUUUGUCUGGAGUUUUAGGGUUAUCCUAGGUAAUUUACACUAUGUAUACUUGUAUUUAUUUGUACCUGUGAGACAGAGAUAGACAGAGACAGAUUGAAAGAGAUUGACAGAGACAGAUAGACAAAGACAGAGACAGACACAGAUAGACAGAUACAGAGAUAGACAGACCCUAAACUUGGGGUUAACAUCACUUUCUUCUUAAAAGGGGAGUGUUAAUAUGACAUUACAUCAGUGAAUCAUUGGUGUUUGCCACACUGUUUGCUCAAGCUGGCGCUCACUUUAACUGGUGCUCCCACAAGGUACUAAGUGGUCCCUGAUGUUUUUAAUAUGGUGCACACCGAGUGUUAAGGCCAUUCUGUGCUGACCAGACAUCUCAGGGCAAUCAUGCCAGAUUUGGAAGCAGGAAAAUUAAAACGUAUAUAUACGUUUGGGGCGCUAGCGGUAAGAACGUAUAUAUACGUACGUUCGGACCGUUUAGGUGUUAAUGCCCUUGGCUGACGUUACAGCCUUUAUCGACUCCUUCAACUUUAGUAUGGUACAUAUCGUAGAAGUACUACGCUGGUACUGCCUCGCCAACUCCACUACCCACACACCUCGCUCGUGUUUUUCUAUGAUUUCUUGCUUUAAUUCAAUGGACAUCAUCCUCUUCUUCUCAGCACUGUCCAUUGCACUUACUUUCUUAGGACCCAUGUUAGAAAAAAGAAAUUUGGCAAAAUAAUUGCAGAAAAUGCACAAAACACAAGCACAGCACAAGAGAGAUGCUUCCAUGGCGAAGUAGACAUGUGCACUGACCGACGCCAGCUGGGGGCGACAUAUCUGAAGCUCGCUCGUAGCUCAGAUUUUGGCUAGCAAUUCAAAGCAAAAAACUGACUUAGCGAUGACUCGUAACUCAGAAAACUCUCAAGUUGGGGCACUCAUAAGUCAAGGUACCACUGUAGUAGGAAAUGGCCAGUCCAUUAGAUACAGCUUGGGCAGCUACAACGAUGUCCAUAAAGGUGACCUUAAGCAUAGAGGAGGCAUUGGGUAUCUUCGUGAUGGUGUCCACCGAGGCCUAGACAUUCUGGUCUUUGAUGGAAGACUUGAGUUCUUCGUUACAGAGGGCCGUGAUGAUCCUGUCAAGUCUUUUCACAAAGACAGAUCGUUUCACCUUCAAGUGAGGAGAGUUGGAGAUUAUGAAGCUAUGAUCGUUGAGAGUCUUGAUAGCAAUAGGGGUCAGGAUUGUUUUGGCCUCCACAUCGCAGGUACAGGCAACUAGGAAGGUGUCUUUGAAGGACACAAUGCCAGAGAACUUGACCUGCAAGCUGCUUUUAAGGGCAGCUACAAGUGCAAACUUCAAAGCAUCGUUUACUGUGGAACUUGCAGGUUUGAUCUUCACAUGAUGUGACAUCAUGGAAGAGUAGAUCACUUGUAGACUAGAAAAUUCCCCUCCCGAUGGGGAUUGAAGGGAUACUUUUUGAGUGUGAGCAGCAACGACUGUGUCCUGCCAGUGGCAAGGUCAGCAGUGCCUACUUAUUUAGAAGAGUCUUGUCCACAUUUUGAUCUAUUUCCAGUGUAUUUAGCAUUUCAUACACAUUAGUUGUAGCAUAGUCAUUUUUGCUUAUUUACUUAAACACUAACUAUUAUCCGUGUUCUAAUCUUAAUUUUAUCUUCAACAGUAAUCCAGUAUGGGUUUGUGACAAUAUUUGUGGCAGCUUUUCCCCUGGCACCAUUAUUUGCUUUGUUGAAUAAUAUUGUGGAGAUCCGACUGGAUGCAUAUAAAUACCUGACUCAGUGCCGCAGGCCUCGAGCAGAGAGGGUUCAAGAUAUUGGAAUUUGGUUUGGUAUUCUGAAGGGCAUCACAUAUUUUUCUGUGUUUACUAAUGCAUUGGUUAUUUCAUACACAAGUGACUUUAUUCCUCGAUUAGUCUACAUGUAUGGCUACUCACCUGAAGGAACGACCCUUAAAGGCUACAUAGAAAAUAGUCUUGCUUUGUUCAAUACAUCAGAGUAUACAGAAGAUAUGGGGCCAGACAACCGUACAGGAUGGCCAGCAACGUGUCGGUAUAGAGCAUACCGUAAUAAUCCAGAUGAUAAGAACCCUUAUGGUUUCACUAUACAGUUUUGGCAUGUUUUCACUGCACGCCUGGCUUUCAUACUCAUAUUUGAGGUAAUGUUCAGUAUUAAGUUUUUACCACCUAAAAAUUGUGUGAAAUUGUGGAAAUAUAUUACUUGGAUUGUUAAAUUAGCUAUUUUCAAAUAAGUACAAUGACAGAGAUCAGCAAAUA